UACGAAGGGGGCUAGCGUUGCUCGGAAUUACUGGGCGUAAAGGGAGCGUAGGCGGCCAGUUAAGUCAGUGGUGAAAGCCCAGAGCUCAACUCUGGAAUAGCCUUUGAUACUGAUUGUCUUGAGUAUGGGAGAGGUAUGCGGAACUCCGAGUGUAGAGGUGAAAUUCGUAGAUAUUCGGAAGAACACCAGUGGCGAAGGCGGCAUACUGGCCCAUUACUGACGCUGAGGCUCGAAAGCGUGGGGAGCAAACAGG
rnacentral:rRNA from 1 species